AGUGAACGCUGGCGGUAGGCCUAACACAUGCAAGUCGAACGGCAGCACAGAGGAGCUUGCUCCUUGGGUGGCGAGUGGCGGACGGGUGAGGAAUACAUCGGAAUCUACUCUGUCGUGGGGGAUAACGUAGGGAAACUUACGCUAAUACCGCAUACGACCUACGGGUGAAAGCAGGGGACCUUCGGGCCUUGCGCGAUUGAAUGAGCCGACGUCGGAUUAGCUAGUUGGCGGGGUAAAGGCCCACCAAGGCGACGAUCCGUAGCUGGUCUGAGAGGAUGAUCAGCCACACUGGAACUGAGACAUGGUCCAGACUCCUACGGGAGGCAGCAGUGGGGAGUAUUGGACAAUGGGCGCAAGCCUGAUCCAGCCAUACCGCGUGGGUGAAGAAGGCCUUCGGGUUGUAAAGCCCUUUUGUUGGGAAAGAAAUCCAGCUGGCUAAUACCCGGUUGGGAUGACGGUACCCAAAGAAUAAGCACCGGCUAACUUCGUGCCAGCAGCCGCAGUAA
rnacentral:rRNA from 1 species